AGGGUUCGAUUCUGGCUCAGGAUGAACGCUAGCUACAGGCUUAACACAUGCAAGUCGGGGGGCAGCAUGAAGUUGCUGCAAACUUGAUGGCGACCGGCGCACGGGUGAGUAACGCGUAUCCAACCUUCCCUAUACUAGAGGAUAGCCCGGCGAAAGUCGGAUUAAUACUCUAUGUUCUUCGUAGAAGACAUCUGAAAUGAAGCAAAGGUUUACCGGUAUAGGAUGGGGAUGCGUCUGAUUAGGUUGUUGGCGGGGUAACGGCCCACCAAGCCCACGAUCAGUAGGGGUUCUGAGAGGAAGGUCCCCCACAUUGGAACUGAGACACGGUCCAAACUCCUACGGGAGGCAGCAGUGAGGAAUAUUGGUCAAUGGACGAGAGUCUGAACCAGCCAAGUAGCGUGCAGGAUGACGGCCCUAUGGGUUGUAAACUGCUUUUAUACAGGGAUAAAGUUCACUACGUGUAGUGUUUUGUAGGUACUGUAUGAAUAAGGACCGGCUAAUUCCGUGCCAGCCGCCGC
rnacentral:rRNA from 1 species